GACGAACGCUGGCGGCGUGCUUAACACAUGCAAGUCGAACGGUGAAAGCGGAGCUUGCUCCGCUGGAUCAGUGGCGAACGGGUGAGUAACACGUGGGCAACCUACCCCUCACUUCGGGAUAACUCCGGGAAACCGGGGCUAAUACCGGAUAUGACCUCCUUGGGCAUCCUUGGAGGUGGAAAGUUUUUCGGUGAGGGAUGGGCCCGCGGCCUAUCAGCUUGUUGGUGAGGUAGUGGCUCACCAAGGCGACGACGGGUAGCCGGCCUGAGAGGGCGACCGGCCACACUGGGACUGAGACACGGCCCAGACUGCUACGGGAGGCAGCAGUGGGGAAUAUUGCGCAAUGGGCGAAAGCCUGACGCAGCAACGCCGCGUGCGGGAUGACGGCCUUCGGGUUGUAAACCGCUUUCAGCAGGGAAGAAGCCGCAAGGUGACGGUACCUGCAGAAGAAGCACCGGCUAACUACGUGCCAGCAGCCGCCGUAA
rnacentral:rRNA from 1 species